UCCUGGUUAGCUCACUUGGUAGAGCGACUGCCCCGAAAAGGCGUAGUCCCGGGUUUGAUUCCCGGACCAGGAU